AGUUCGUGGACUGAUUUGUCUGGUUGAUUCCGUUAACGAGCGAGAUCUUAACCUGCUAAAUAGGUCGUCCAAAUGCGUUUGGAUCGCGCCUUCUUAGAGGGACUAUGUGUGUUUAACACAAGGAGGUUUUAGGCAAUAACAGG
rnacentral:rRNA from 1 species